rnacentral:rRNA from 1 species
GCUCCCCCCCCCCGCCACCGCUCGAGAGUUUUGAUCCUGGCUCAGGAUGAACGCUGGCGGCGUGCUUAACACAUGCAAGUCGAACGGUGAACACGGAGCUUGCUCUGUGGGAUCAGUGGCGAACGGGUGAGUAACACGUGAGCAACCUGCCCCUGACUCUGGGAUAAGCGCUGGAAACGGCGUCUAAUACUGGAUAUGUGACGUGACCGCAUGGUCUGCGUUUGGAAAGAUUUUUCGGUUGGGGAUGGGCUCGCGGCCUAUCAGCUUGUUGGUGAGGUAAUGGCUCACCAAGGCGUCGACGGGUAGCCGGCCUGAGAGGGUGACCGGCCACACUGGGACUGAGACACGGCCCAGACUCCUACGGGAGGCAGCAGUGGGGAAUAUUGCACAAUGGGCGAAAGCCUGAUGCAGCAACGCCGCGUGAGGGAUGACGGCCUUCGGGUUGUAAACCUCUUUUAGCAGGGAAGAAGCGAAAGUGACGGUACCUGCAGAAAAAGCGCCUGGCUAAAUACGUGCCAGCAGCCGCGGUAAUACGUAGGGCGCAAGCGUUUAUCCGGAAUUAUUGGGCGUAAAGAGCUCGUAGGCGGUUUGUCGCGUCUGCUGUGAAAUCCCGAGGCUCAACCUCGGGCCUGCAGUGGGUACGGGCAGACUAGAGUGCGGUAGGGGAGAUUGGAAUUCCUGGUGUAGCGGUGGAAUGCGCAGAUAUCAGGAGGAACACCGAUGGCGAAGGCAGAUCUCUGGGCCGUAACUGACGCUGAGGAGCGAAAGGGUGGGGAGCAAACAGGCUUAGAUACCCUGGUAGUCCACCCCGUAAACGUUGGGAACUAGUUGUGGGGUCCAUUCCACGGAUUCCGUGACGCAGCUAACGCAUUAAGUCC